AGCAUUCGCUCCAUCCAGUCGAUGAUGUCUGUGGCGAUCUCAUCACGCUCAGGCUCAAAGAGCAGAUCGUGCAAGAACCCAUCGUACAGCCUCAGAUCCUUGUGCCUCGAUGAGGCCUCGUUGUAGAGGUCCUGUGAAGCCAGGGGGUCGGUCACCCGGUCUGCGGUUCCAUGGAGGACCAUGAAUGGGACGGUGACCUUCUUCAAGUUGUGCAGCAGGUAGGAGGAGAUGCGUAGGAUUUCAUGGCCGGUCCGAACUCUGAUCGGCCCGGUGUAAACCAGCGGAUCGGAGUACUUCGCUAGCAGGGCAGCCGGGUCGCGGGACACCGGGAUGCCUCUCUUGUUAGCUCCCUUGAACUGAAACUUUGGGUAUCAGAAAAAGCAGCAUUACCCCUACAAUGGGAUGAGCAGGUUUUACACGCAGAGCUGGUGAAGUUAGGAUGAUGCCUUCCAGUUUUGCUCUGAUACGAGGGAACAAUGAUGCCUGGAAAAUACCAGCUAUUGAUAAGCACAAGGGAAAGAAGAACAUGAAGCAUGUAAAAUGAACAUAUCUGCAGCCAAACCAUUUCAAGUUUUCAACCAGGCUAUUUUGUUAAUGCUUUGCACCAUUGCUCUGCCCGUCACGAUAUCCAUUAUUCACAGGCCCAGAGGAGUAGGGUCAGUUUCUAAACCUGGCCUAAAUAGAGCUGAGAAAAACUACU
rnacentral:sRNA from 1 species